rnacentral:rRNA from 1 species
CAGCCGCCGCGGUAAUACGAAGGGUGCAAGCGUUAAUCGGAAUUACUGGGCGUAAAGCGUGCGUAGGUGGUGGUUUAAGUCCGUUGUGAAAGCCCUGGGCUCAACCUGGGAAUUGCAGUGGAUACUGGGUCACUAGAGUGUGGUAGAGGAUAGUGGAAUUUCCGAUGUAGCAGUGAAAUGCGUAGAGAUCGGAAGGAACAUCUGUGGCGAAGGCGACUAUCUGGGCCAACACUGACACUGAGGCACGAAAGCGUGGGGAGCAAACAGGAUUAGAUACCCCAGUAGUCCCUGUCUCUUAUAA